rnacentral:misc_RNA from 1 species
AUAUCUGUUGCGCAAGACUUGCAACCAGUAAGAGGUAAAACAAACCGACUAGAAGGAAGAAUCAGCAAGUGUCCUAAUAAUGCUCUAUCUUUCCCAUGGCUUUGCUCUUUCGAAAGAAGUCAGUCCUGUUAAAUCACUGACCUGUUCAAAACCCAUAUGUAUGGUUGAGUCAGCUCUGGUUAGUAAAAAAAAAGGCCUUGCUGCAUGACUAUUAGUACUGCAGUAGACAACCCCACAGUGGCAG